GAUUAAUAAAAAUAAUUGUGAUUUUAAGUAUUUUAUAGUGACCUUUAAUUUGUAGGAAGAGAAACUGGGGGAGUGACUUUUUUUUGCAUCAGACAUGUGUCACUUUGCUCACAUCUGAUUGGUC